CGUCAAAGAGUUUGAUUCUGGCUCAGGAUGAACGCUAGCGACAGGCCUAACACAUGCAAGUCGAGGGGCAGCGCGGAGUAGCAAUACUUGGCGGCGACCGGCGCACGGGUGAGUAACACGUAUGACAACCAACCCAUAACGAGGGGGAUAACCCGGAGAAAUCCGGACUAAUACCGCAUAAGACCACGAUAUCGCAUGAUAUAGAGGUCAAAUAUUUAUAGGUUAUGGACGGGCAUGCGUCUGAUUAGCUGGUUGGCGGGUAACGCCCACCAAGGCAUCGAUCAGUAGGGGUUCUGAGAGGAAGGUCCCCCACAUUGGAACUGAGACACGGUCCAAACUCCUACGGGAGGCAGCAGUGAGGAAUAUUGGUCAAUGGGCGAAAGCCUGAACCAGCCAUGUCGCGUGAAAAGGAUGAAGGUCCUAUGGAUUGUAAACUUCUUUUGCAGGAGGGUAAAGUGAGCUACGUGUAGUUCAUUGCAAGUACCCUGCGAAUAAGCAUCGGCUAACUCCGUGCCAGCCGCCGC
rnacentral:rRNA from 1 species